ensembl:lncRNA novel transcript
UGUCGGCGGCCCUUCAGAGGAGAUGCUGCCCCACGGAACGCCUGGCAAGUGCUGGCGAAGCGGCAUGGGCGUCCCACUCCGUUCCUCAACCAAUUUCCUCACAAUCGCGAGCCGAAGUGUGGCGCUUUGGCAGUUUCGCAAGGUCUUUUGUCAGGAGAUGAGUUACUGAGGAUUGGGGGUCUUUGGAGCUCUUGGACCUGAAGAACGAUUAAGUUUUUCUCCCUUCAGAGAGCCAAGAGAUGGGGUCUUGCUGUGUUGCCCAGGGUGGAGUGCAGUGGCUAUUCACAGGUGUGAUCAUAGCUACUAUAGCCUCAAACCCUGGGUUCAAGUGAGUCCUUUGAACUAGAACAUUGGCCUUUUCUGGUUCUGCAGAAGCUUCCAGCCUUCAGAUUUGAACUGGGACACUGGCUCUGCAGAUUUUGGACUUGCCAGCCUUCAUAAUUGUAUCGCUACCUUGAUUUGCUGUUGCAGCCUUUUCAAUGUCUUUACAAGUUCGCUGUUGUUCUUGUUGGCGUGGUCCAGCUGGAUUUCCAUCUCAUUCAGGUCCGUCUCCAUCUUCUUCUUGAGCCGAAGUGCCUCUGCCCGGCCCUUGGCCUCUGCCUCUAGGCUGGCCUGCAAGGACUCGAUUGCCCGCUGGUGGUUCUUCCUAACCUACACUCCUGUCAUUUGUGGAAUGAUUGCUGGAGCCAGAGGCCAGGAAGAAGUUCAUGAGCCUGAGAGAAAAAGCAAGGAUUUCCAGUUCUACCCUCUUGGACUUGACCCUCUGCAGGCUCUCCACAUGCUCCGUCAGCUCGGCCAUGGAGUCCACGUGCUUCUUGCGCAGUGUGGAGGCCGUCGCCUCGCUCUGCAGGGCGGCCUCUUCCAGCUCCCGCCGCAGCUUCAGCAGCUCAGCCUCCCGCUUGCGGUUCUGCUCGAUCUGGGGUAGAGGAGGAGCAGCUUAGCAGAACUGGCCAGUGCCAGCCUUUUCCGGGUGGACACCGCCCAGCUGCUCGGUGGUCCCC